UAGAGUUUGAUCCUGGCUCAGGAUGAACGCUGGUGGCGUGCUUAAUACAUGCAAGUCGAACGAGGAACUUUUGUCUUCGGAUAGAGGUUUCCUAGUGGCGAACGGGUGAGUAACGCGUUGGUGACCUGCCCCGAAGCGGGGGAUAACAGUUCGAAAGGACUGCUAAUACCUCAUGAUAUCAAUUGGACUAGAUACCUUUUGAUCAAAGGCGUAAGCCACUUUGGGAGGGGCCUGCGUCCCAUCAGCUAGUUGGUAGGGUAAUGGCCUACCAAGGCUAAGACGGGUAGGGGACCUAAGAGGGUGACCCCCCACACUGGCACUGAAACACGGGCCAGACACCUACGGGUGGCAGCAGUAGGGAAUUUUGGACAAUGGGCGAAAGCCUGAUCCAGCAACGCCGCGUGCGCGAUGACGGCCUUCGGGUUGUAAAGCGCUUUUAGAGGAGAUGAGAGAGGACAGUAUCCUCUGAAUAAGCCUCGGCGAACUACGUGCCAGCAGCCGCGGUAAUA
rnacentral:rRNA from 1 species